GUCUACGGCCAUGCCACCCUGAAUAAGCCUGAUCCCAUCUGCUCUCGGAAGCUAAGCAGGGUCGGGCCUGGUUAGAUGGGAGACCACCUAGGAAGACCAGGUGCUAUAGUCG
rnacentral:rRNA from 1 species